rnacentral:lncRNA from 1 species
UUUUCUGUCAUCUGUAAUAACUGUGUAAUACUGUAAAUACUGUAUAACUGUACUCGACAUGUUUACGCUCUCUCUGUUUACUUUACUGUUGUGCUUGCGAUUUCUCGGCUGUUCCUGACUGGCUCGCCAAUGCUCCUUCUCAGCUCCAUCCCUACUGCCACCUCUCUCUACUGCCUCCUGCUGGUGGCUCUGGUGACAUGCCCCACCCGGUGUGACCCCAAUGAGCAGAACUGGGAGGAGCUAAAUGAGAUGCAGGUAGAGGCGCUUUCUGCCCAGCUGUCCGUCACAGCCCAGGCCACACCCACUCCUCUCUGGGCAGUGGACUGGGGCCCAACUCAGACCCUCGAGGAUGAGACACAACACUUCCUGCCCAGCCAGGAAGGGGACCACUGGCAGGCGUCGACAGAUGAGACCUUGCCACAUCACAAGAACACGCUCACCACCCACACACAACAGCAACUUCCGUCCCUAGAGGCAAAGGAUGUGGUGACUGGCAAAGACAGCAAGACGGAGGCCGAAGAGGAGUUUGAAGAAGUUACGACCGCAGCUGUUCCCGGCACCCACCCCCGCUCUCCCUCGGCGGGGCUCCCCCCCUAUCGCUCGCCAUCCCUCGCUCCCUCGCUCAGGAGGACAGUAGGCAGACGCUGCACAGCACCCCCUCCUUCAGCGACAGGGAGAGGUAAUAAGAGGGCCCAGUGGUGUGCCAGUGGUGUGUGUAUGGAAUGGAAUGGGGGGGGGGGAGUCUGUUAUUGUGCAUUCCAGAUGUGUGUGUUUUGCUAUACCAAUAAUGUUGCUUUGUUAAAAUACAGUAUUGUGCACACAGAUGUGGGUUGUGCAUGGGGGUUUAUAUGUAAUCACUCACAUAGGCCAGUGUUACUUUGA